AGUGAACGCUGGCGGUAGGCCUAACACAUGCAAGUCGAACGGCAGCACAGUAAGAGCUUGCUCUUACGGGUGGCGAGUGGCGGACGGGUGAGGAAUACAUCGGAAUCUACUUUUUCGUGGGGGAUAACGUAGGGAAACUUACGCUAAUACCGCAUACGACCUACGGGUGAAAGCAGGGGAUCUUCUGACCUUGCGCGAUUGAAUGAGCCGAUGUCGGAUUAGCUAGUUGGCGGGGUAAUGGCCCACCAAGGCGACGAUACGUAGCUGGUCUGAGAGGAUGAUCGGCCACACUGGAACUGAGACACGGUCCAGACUCCUACGGGAGGGCGCAGUGGCGAAUAUUGGACAAUGGGCGCAAGCCUGAUCCAGCCAUACCGCGUGGGUGAAGACGGCCUUCGGGUUGUAAAGCCCUUUUGUUGGGAAAGAAAAGCAGCAGGUUAAUACCCCGCUGUUCUGACGGUACCCAAAGAAUAAGCACCGGCUAACUUCGUG
rnacentral:rRNA from 1 species